rnacentral:rRNA from 1 species
AAGGAUCAUUAUCGUAUAACUGAGGCGCGACGGCUGUCGCUGACCUUUCGGUCGUGCACGCCCGAGUGUUCUCAAAAACAUCCAUCUCACCCCUUGUGCACCACCGCGUGGGCACCCUUUCGACUCGUUCGGAGGGGAGCUCACGUUUUCACACAAACUCUAUACGGUGUAGAAUGUCUUCCUUUGCGAUCACACGCAAUUAAUACAACUUUCAACAACGGAUCUCUUGGCUCUCGCAUCGAUGAAGAACGCAGCGAAAUGCGAUACGUAAUGUGAAUUGCAGAAUUCAGUGAAUCAUCGAAUCUUUGAACGCACCUUGCGCCCCUUGGCAUUCCGAGGGGCACACCCGUUUGAGUGUCGUGAAAUUCUCAAAACCCUUUUCUUUUGAAAGGAUUUUGGACUUGGAGGCUUUUUGCUGGCUUCGCCUUGAAGUGAGCUCCUCCCAAACGAAUUAGUGGGGUCCGCUUUGCCGAUCCUUGACGUGAUAAGAUGUUUCUACGUCUUGGGUUCGGCACUGUCCACCUGCUUCUAACCGUCUCAUCGACAACGAUGGCGUUCCGGUCUCACCACCGUUUAAUCGGUCGGGGAGGCUUGACCCACCAAAACAAACCUUGA